rnacentral:lncRNA from 1 species
UUGCCUAUGCUACUAUCCCAAUUCCACAGAGGGAUAAACUAAAGCCUAGGGAAAUUUCAUGUGUUUUUCUGGGAUAUCCUUUUGCCAAAAAGGGUUACAAGUUGUAUGAUCUAACUUCCAAAAAGUGUUUUGUGUCCAGGGAUGUUAUAUUUCAUGAAACUUGUUUUCCUUUUGCAACUGCUUCUGCUGUCCCUCUGGUCCUUCUGUUUUCCCUUCUUCACCUCCUUUUGUCCCUUCUCCUGAGCAUCCACAUUCUGAGACAGACAUGUCUGUUCAACUUGUUCUUCUCUCCCUUCUCCUUCUGCACCUUUUCCUUCUACUUCCAGUUCUGCUCCCUCUUCUGUUCCUUCCUCAAUACUUUCUGAACUUAUUCCUUAUGCUUCCAGUCCACCCUUUAAUCCUGACAUUUCUCCUCCUGUUAUUUCUUCCCCUACAGCACCUACUGUCAACAGAAGAUCUAGAAGGCAACACACCACUCAGAACUUAAUCUUCCUGCUUACAGUCCACCCUUAAAUCCUGAUAUUUCUCCUCCUGCUAUUUCUUCCUCUACAGCACCUCUUGUCCACAGAAGAUCUGGAAGGAAACACAACACUCCUUCUUAUCUCAAAGAUUAUGUUUGUCGCCUCCCUUCCUUUUCUGGCUCUUCUUCCUCUCCUUAUGUUUUGGAAUCUGAACCUCUCCAUUAUUCUCAAGUUGCAUCAGUCCCAGCCUGGCAGGAUGCCAAGAGAAAGGAGUUUGAUGCAUUGGAUGCCAACCAUACUUGGGAUGUUGUUCCCCUUCCUCCUGGCAGUUCCAGUAUGGCAGGAUGCCAUGAGAAAGGAUUUUGAUGCUUUGGAUGCCAACCAUACCUGGGAUGUUGUUCCACUUCCUCCUGGUAAGAAACCCAUUGGCUGCAAGUGGGUCUAUAAGAUCAAAUAUAAGGCUGAUGGUAGUGUUGAAAGAUAUAAGGCUAGGCUUGUUAUUAGAGGAGACGCUCAAAUUAAAGGAGUUGAUUUCACAGAAACCUUUUCCCCUGUGGUUAAGAUGUUUACUGUGAAAUGCUUAAUUGUUGUGGCUAUUAAGAAACAUUGGGAUCUUUUUCAACUUGAUGUUAACAAUGCCUUCUUGCAUGGUGAUCUAGAUGAGGAGGUAUAUAUGAGCUUCCUCCAGGUUUUAGUGUUUCUGCUUCUUUUGUUGCUUCUGUUUCUUCUGUCUCUUACUCCCAUUGUGUGCAAGUUAAAAAAAAAUCCCUUUAUGGAUUGAGACAGGCUUUAAUACAGUGGUAUGCCAAAUUGUCGCAUGCUCUAUACUCUAGAGGCAAUACACAUCUCUGAAUGAUUACUGUUUGUUUUUCAAGGGCCAGCCUGGGUGCCUUGUGGUUCUGGUAGUAUAUGUGGAUGACAUUAUUAUUACUGGUGAUGAUACUACUGAAAUAUCUUCCCUAAAACACUUUCUGGAUGACCAGUUUAGGAUUAAAGACAUGGGGUCUUUGCAUUAUUUUCUGGGCAUUGAGGUGUAUGUUGUUGCUGGUGGAGUGCUUCUU